UGGUGGAGUGAUUUGUCUGGUUAAUUCCGAUAACGAACGAGACUCUAGCUUGCUAAAUAGACGGGCGAUCCCUUCGUGGGUCGACCCGAUUUGCUUCUUAGAGGGACAAGUGGCGUUCCUAGCCACGCGAAAUUGAGCAAUAACA
rnacentral:rRNA from 1 species